CGGGGCGCAGAGACUCGCCCUCUAAGUCUGGCCUCAGCUUUUCCUCCCUUCAGGCCGUUUUUUGCUCAUCGGAUCUGUGCGAAGUGGCUGGCGGAGGAGAAACAAUUGAGCUUGGUCAUGUGGCAGAGCUGAGGGGAGAGGAGGGAAUUGCUGGCUCUGAAAACGAAAUCAACAAGAAAAACAUCCCUCCCCCCCCCUUCCUCCCAAACACAGAUCGUGCCCCGGGGCCUUUUGCCUAAGAAGGAAGCAAGUCGGAGGGCAGGCCGAGCGCUGGCGCAGGGAGCUCAACUGCAAAGGAGCUUAAGCCGGCUUGCACAGAUGCGGACACAGAACUCGGCAGCAGCCCUGUCCACUCCAGAAGUCCAACGACCCUUUUACGUGACUCAAGAUCUCCCUGGCUAUGCAUCCCAGAACCACGGCAUUUCACUGCGGAGCAGCCGAAAUUGGCCGUUUCCGUUGAUUAUGACUACAGCUACGGUCAACAGCGUCAGUGUUCGGCUGUAUGACCACAAAAUGGAAAACUUCCAGGAUCACGACUAACUGAACGAAAGUGAGUUAAAUAGCAUAUUGUUCUUGUGAUGUAUGAAUGACGGUUUCUUUUCACU